UACGGAGGGAGCUAGCGUUGUUCGGAAUUACUGGGCGUAAAGCGCGCGUAGGCGGCUAUCCAAGUCAGGGGUGAAAUCCCGGGGCUCAACCCCGGAACUGCCUCUGAAACUAGGUAGCUAGAAUACUGGAGAGGUGAGUGGAAUUCCGAGUGUAGAGGUGAAAUUCGUAGAUAUUCGGAAGAACACCAGUGGCGAAGGCGACUCACUGGACAGUUAUUGACGCUGAGGUGCGAAAGCGUGGGGAGCAAACAGG
rnacentral:rRNA from 1 species